GACGAACGCUGGCGGCGUGCUUAACACAUGCAAGUCGAACGGAAAGGCCCUGCUUUUGUGGGGUGCUCGAGUGGCGAACGGGUGAGUAACACGUGAGUAACCUGCCCUUGACUUUGGGAUAACUUCAGGAAACUGGGGCUAAUACCGGAUAGGAGCUCCUGCUGCAUGGUGGGGGUUGGAAAGUUUCGGCGGUUGGGGAUGGACUCGCGGCUUAUCAGCUUGUUGGUGGGGUAGUGGCUUACCAAGGCUUUGACGGGUAGCCGGCCUGGGAGGGUGACCGGCCACAUUGGGACUGAGAUACGGCCCAGACUCCUACGGGAGGCAGCGGUGGGGAAUAUUGCACAAUGGGCGGAGGCCGGAUGCAGCGACGCCGCGUGCGGGAUGACGGCCUUCGGGUUGGAAACCGCUUUCGCCUGUGACGAAGCGUGAGGGACGGGAAUGGGUAAAGAAGCACCGGCUAACUACGU
rnacentral:rRNA from 1 species